CCCUCCUCGGUCAGUGGUGUGACUGCUGUUUGCCAACAGUCUGAACAUUGUGCUACAGAAGCCUGCCAUUCCAUUAGUCCCCUAGAGUAGAAUUCCUGAUAGAGGUGCAAGUUGAGUGUCAACUGAAGGUAGGCUAGGCACUUAUGGUGGGGUCCCUUCACUGUGUGUGCGCGUGUAAAUAGGUUCACGAGGGACACGUGUGGAUUUCCACCAGUUUGCUGUAGCUCCUGUGCUGCACUAGAGGUGGUUAGAGAAUAAUCCAGCCUUGUGAGGAGUGAGAGUGCGAGCGUCGUAAGGCGUCUGGACAACAUCCUUGGGACUGGCGACUCCGCACGGCAGGUCCAGACAGACCUAGAGAGGGGAUUUGGUCACGCAGGAGUGGGAAACUGGGGCACACUGGGAUCUGUGGUCCUGAGAGUAGAGUCCUGGGUUUUAUUGAAUGAGCCUGAGGCAGACCCAGCAACAGUUGCUGCCACAUCCCAUUGGUCCAGCUGCAACUGGUGGCGUGCAGAUAUUGGGUAUCAGCUGUUGUGCUGGCAGCUGUCAGUCAGUAACCACCUGCCUUUGCGCUGGAUUGGCUUCUAGACUGGCUUUGUGUCAGGUCUUUGGACUGUGUGUGCGUAUGUGGGCAGGUUAUAUAUACGUGACUGGGACUACAGAGGAUAUUUUGAUGGAAUUUUCAACUUCCAUGGAUUAGGAUAAACACUGGAGCAUCAGCAUGUACAUGUCAAACCUGGGGUGAGUGUUAUUCAUUUGCCAACACCAUGUUAAGCAAUGUGUGUGUUUAAUAUAGGCAACCUUUAGAUUGAACUUGAAAGCAUCACAGUAGAUUUUCUUAUAGUUUUACCUGAUUUAUUAGACUACAGAGUCUGUUGUUACUGCAGCUGCGACACUAAAUAUGAUUACAUUUUUUGAAACUUUUUAGUGUUGCAAUGUGUGCACUGACAAAAUAAAACAUGACAUUUUGUACAACCUUGUCAUUUGAUUGUAAAGGGCAAUGUUAUUUUACCCAUUUGUGCAUGGUAAGUGUACAUUCGGCCUGCAGGGAAAACAGAGCAAUCAGAGGCCAAAUAAUCACAUUACAGUAGUUAUAAGCUGGUUACUGUCUCAGGAUGGAUGUUUCUGGCCUACGAUGUGAUUGGAACUCACAGAAUGUUACACUGAUGUUGAAUAAAUAGUGUUCCCUGGGUGUUUAGAGGGCUUAGGUGUGUGUAGACUCUAGAAAAUGUGAAUUCAUUUUUUUUUUCCAUUAAAGAUAUGCAGUUUUUUUUCCUUUUUAACAAUUAUUAUUACAGUCCCAAAAGCUUUAAAACAAAACUUUCCAGAUAAAAUAUUUAAUAUUAUUUAUUUAUAUAUAUAUAUA